rnacentral:lncRNA from 1 species
CGGAACAAUGCAGCAACCUCAUCAUGCAGGAUCUCAUGAAUCCUAGCAUCCAACUCGCCUGUGCUCAUUUGACCAAUAACCUUGGGCGGUACUGACCCACCCUGACCACCCUCUGCUGCUCCCGAUCCUGACCCGGAUCUGCUCCCAUCAUGCCUCGUAACCACCAUACUGAAAAACACCACAAGAUAUCAGAUACUUCGCACAAACCCGGGAACCAACUCCCAACCGAACCCUAGAGGUCAUGGUUUCUUUGAUACGCGUAUGGGUCCUGUGCUUUCAGUAGUACGGGCCCAUACUACCUUCCACACCUACCCAUAUUUAUAUAAAUUAUCACCACAAAACCCUAGUGAAGAACAUACAUAAGAAGCACUCAACCCUCACUCCUAGAGGAACAUUGGAAACCUCCCACAGAAGAAACCUUAGGCUAGCAGGCAUCAUAAAUCAGGAAACAUUAUCAUGAAAUCCUGAUGAUCGCUAAAGUAGUACGGGCCCAUACUACCUUCCACACCUACCCAUAUUUAUAUAAAUUAUCACCACAAAACCCUAGUGAAGAACAUACAUAAGAAGCACUCAACCCUCACUCCUAGAGGAACAUUGGAAACCUCCCACAGAAGAAACCUUAGGCUAGCAGGCAUCAUAAAUCAGGAAACAUUAUCAUGAAAUCCUGAUGAUCGCUAACCUAGUACUAGCAUGCUGUUCUAUCAAAGCUCAAAAACAA